rnacentral:rRNA from 1 species
UACGUAGGCAGCGAGCGUUGUUCGGAGUUACUGGGCGUAAAGCGUGCGUAGGCGGUGUCUUAAGUUUGUUGUGAAAUCUCCCGGCUUAACCGGGAGGGUGCGGCGAAUACUGAGAUGCUGGAGUGCCGGAGAGGUAAGCGGAAUUCCUGGUGUAGCGGUGAAAUGCGUAGAUAUCAAGUGGAACACCAGUGGCGAAGGCGGCUCACUGGCCCGAUACUGACGCUGAGGCACGAAAGCGUGGGGAGCAAACAGG